GCCAGACUCCUACGGGAGGCAGCAGUGAGGAAUAUUGGUCAAUGGGCUUACGCCUGAACCAGCCAAGUCGCGUGAGGGAAGACUGCCCUAUGGGUUGUAAACCUCUUUUGUCAGGGAGCAACGCCGGCUACGUGUAGCCGGACUGAGAGUACCUGAAGAAAAAGCAUCGGCUAACUCCGUGCCAGCAGCCGCGGUAAUACGGAGGAUGCGAGCGUUAUCCGGAUUUAUUGGGUUUAAAGGGUGCGUAGGCGGAAUAUCAAGUCAGCGGUAAAAAUUCGGGGCUCAACCCCGUCGUGCCGUUGAAACUGAUGUUCUUGAGUGGGCGAGAAGUAUGCGGAAUGCGUGGUGUAGCGGUGAAAUGCAUAGAUAUCACGCAGAACUCCGAUUGCGAAGGCAGCUUACUAAACUAUAACUGACACUGAAGCACGAAAGCGUGGGGAUCAAACAGGAUUAGAUACCCCAGUAAUC
rnacentral:rRNA from 1 species